GAUGAACGCUGGCGGCGUGCCUAAUACAUGCAAGUCGAGCGAACGGACGAGAAGCUUGCUUUUCUGAUGUUAGCGGCGGACGGGUGAGUAACACGUGGAUAACCUACCUAUAAGACUGGGAUAACUUCGGGAAACCGGAGCUAAUACCGGAUAAUAUUUUGAACCGCAUGGUUCAAAAGCGAAAGACGGUCUUGCUGUCACUUAUAGAUGGAUCCGCGCUGCAUUAGCUAGUUGGUAAGGUAACGGCUUACCAAGGCAACGAUGCAUAGCCGACCUGAGAGGGUGAUCGGCCACACUGGAACUGAGACACGGUCCAGACUCCUACGGGAGGCAGCAGUAGGGAAUCUUCCGCAAUGGGCGAAAGCCUGACGGAGCAACGCCGCGUGAGUGAUGAAGGUCUUCGGAUCGUAAAACUCUGUUAUUAGGGAAGAACAUAUGUGUAAGUAACUGUGCACAUCUUGACGGUACCUAAGCAGAAAGCCACGGCUAACUACGU
rnacentral:rRNA from 1 species